GGAUCUCCUGAAAGCUGACAUUGGAUGAAUUUUCAUUUUGCAGAAGAAACAGACAAUGGACUUGCCACAGCAAUCUGCCACUGCUAACUCAAACAGCGCUGAAGGAUAAGUACAACUCCCCAUCAGGCUGCAAAUGAAGAACAACAGUUAAAAUCUCUCCGCUUGAAAGCUUGCUGCACAUGCUCACUUCCCUUUCUGUCGUCUUUGCUCUUCUGUGACAAAUGUGCUCAUGAAGCUCUGAAAAUUGCACUGGAUUUGGCCUGGCAGAUGAGGUGGUAUCAAAGCAAGAUACAAAGAGGAAACAGACGAGUGACUGUGCAAGAGAUUGCCCUCCAGCCUGGAAGAUCCCUCUGCCAGCAAAAGGGAAAGGGAUAAUGUUAAUAGGAAAACCUUCCAUGUUCUGUGUCUGUUUGAUUAUUAUUUCUCAAAAAAAAGUGCUGGCUACUGAGCGAAACUGAGGCAAGCCAACAAAAAAGAAACCAAAGUAAGGAUGAGCUGGGGUCUUUCUGUUGAGGUUGUACUAGAAAUUGUAGUGUGCAUCCACCAAGCUGACUGGUUCCUCUGCUACUAUGUGUGUGACUCAGUGGUCCCCUGACAAACGUCCAAGACUGGAGGGCAACCCUGGAAUGAAAGUAUGUCCUCUGUCUGGCCCUGACAGCAUAGCAGUUAAAUGUUUAUCCUGUAACAAUUGACUAAAUGAUAGGGUGCCCACACUCUUCACCAUCAAGAAAAAACUGAAAAUCACCAAGCCCAAAUGAUGACAGAGGAAAGAGGAGAGAUAAGCAAAAUAGAAAUUGCAAAGGGAAUAAUAGUUAGAGAAGAGGGCUGAAAUCCAGAAGGCCACAUGAAGCACCUCGAUGGGUAACUAGCCUUCUGGAGUUCUGUUGAGUCUUGAGCAGUAACAUUUAAGCAGAAAAUCAAGAAGAAAUUUAAGGAAGUGAGGAGAAAAUAGGCAUGGAAAAUGAAAAGAAAAGGGCUAGAUGGCGAAUUAAAAGAAACCUGUAGAGAAUAAGCUAGUGAGGAAAAAGAUCUGGAAAUAAGAAUGAAGAUGGAGCAUAUGGGAGUUGGGUGGGCAGAGCUGGAAGGGACGGGUGGCAGAUGGGAAGCUUUCCUACCACAACACGUGUGCCUUUACACCAGUCUGCCUCCUCUUAAGUGAUUUGAAGGUCUUCAUCUGACUUCUCUCAGAACUGAAAAUCUUGAAUUUUGCUAAAGCUGGCAGAUGUCUCCCAAAUAUGUUAUUGAUAUACUAGCUUUUUAAAGUUCUAUUUCCCCGGAGUUUGCCUAGGAAAAAAAGGCAUUUGAUUUAUUUUUUUUUUCAGUCACCUUACUGUACUUUUAUCUGGGCUUAACAUAACAGUUUUAUAAUAUUAACCACCUGAUGACAGCCUGUUUUAUAUGAUUAUGUAAAGAUGUUACUGUUGUGGGUUAUUCUCACUUCUCAUUGGUAAUGAGGGCAUAACUUUAUGGGGCAAAGAAUUUUGAAUAAGUGUCAAUACAGUGACAUGUUACUGUGGAUUUUGCUACACCAUAUUUCAGAGAUUUGUACUACCACAGGGAGUUUUAGUUCUAUAAUCUGAUGUAUAAUUGCUCUUUUCUAUCUAAGUAGUGUAUUCUUGCAUUAUUAAAUCCAGAGAUCUCUUUACUAAGAGAAUUCAAAAUGUGUUUGGAAAACCUUUUAUGUUCUUGAGGUCAAAUAGUAAAACCUUCAUGAGUCUCUAUAUGGCUCUGGGCACUCAUAUUCUAAACAUAUCAGACAAAUAUUUUAGACUCAGGGAAAGGCAGAAUGACUUCAUACUGAAACUGUAAGUAUGCUUUUAUUAGCUUGCCUUUUUAAAACAAAUUUGGUUAAUAAACUAAAUCUUGG
rnacentral:lncRNA from 7 species